AAAGAAACCAACAGGGAUUGCCUCAGUAACGGCGAGUGAAGCGGCAACAGCUCAAAUUUGAAAUCUGGCCUCUGGCCCGAGUUGUAAUUUGCAGAGGAUGUUUCUGGCGAGGUGCCUUCCGAGUUCCCUGGAACGGGACGCCAUAGAGGGUGAGAGCCCCGUACGGUUGGUCGCUAAGCCUCUGUGAAACUCCUUCGACGAGUCGAGUAGUUUGGGAAUGCUGCUCUAAAUGGGAGGUGUACGCCUUCUAAAGCUAAAUAUAGGCUAGAGACCGAUAGCGCACAAGUAGAGUGAUCGAAAGAUGAAAAGCACUUUGAAAAGAGGGUUAAAUAGUACGUGAAAUUGUUGAAAGGGAAGCGCUCUUGACCAGACUUGCGCCGGUUGAUCAUCCACCGUUCUCGGUGGUGCACUCUGCCGGCUCAGGCCAGCAUCAGUUCGGCUUGGGGGAUAAAGGCUUCGGGAAUGUGGCUCUCUCCGGGGAGUGUUAUAGCCCGUUGCGUAAUACCCUGGGCCGGACUGAGGUUCGCGCAUCUGCAUGGAUGCUGGCGUAAUGGUCAUCAGUGACCCGUCUUGAAACACGGACCAAGGAGUCGUCUUCGUAUGCGAGUGUUCGGGUGUCAAACCCCUACGCGUAAUGAAAGUGAACGUAGGAGAGAGCUUCGGCGCAUCUCCGACCGAUCCUGAUGUUCUCGGAUGGAUUUGAGUAAGAGCAUACGGGGCCGGACCCGAAAGAAGGUGAACUAUGCCUGUAUAGGGUGAAGCCAGAGGAAACUCUGGUGGAGGCUCGCAGCGGUUCUGACGUGCAAAUCGAUCGUCAAAUAUGGGCAUGGGGGCGAAAGACUAAUCGAACCUUCUAGUAGCUGGUUUCCGCCGAAGUUUCCCUCAGGAUAGCAGUGUUGAACUCAGUUUUAUGAGGUAAAGCGAAUGAUUAGGGACCCGGGGGCGCUAUAUUGCCUUCAUCCAUUCUCAAACUUUAAAUAUGUAAGAAGCUCUUGUUGCUUAGUUGAACGUGGGCAUUCGAAUGUAUCAAC
rnacentral:rRNA from 1 species